rnacentral:rRNA from 1 species
AGUGAACGCUGGCGGUAGGCCUAACACAUGCAAGUCGAACGGCAGCACAGUAAGAGCUUGCUCUUACGGGUGGCGAGUGGCGGACGGGUGUGGAAUACAUCGGAAUCUACUUUUUCGUGGGGGAUAACGUAGGGAAACUUACGCUAAUACCGCAUACGACCUACGGGUGAAAGCAGGGGAUCUUCGGACCUUGCGCGAUUGAAUGAGCCGAUGUCGGAUUAGCUAGGUGGCGGGGUAAAGGCCCACCAAGGCGACGAUCCGUAGCUGGUCUGAGAGGAUGAUCAGCCACACUGGAACUGAGACACGGUCCAGACUCCUACGGGAGGCAGCAGUGGGGAAUAUUGGACAAUGGGCGCAAGCCUGAUCCAGCCAUACCGCGUGGGUGAAGAAGGCCUUCGGGUUGUAAAGCCCUUUUGUUGGGAAAGAAAAGCAGCAGGUUAAUACCCCGCUGUUCUGACGGUACCCAAAGAAUAAGCACCGGCUAACUUCGUG